rnacentral:rRNA from 1 species
CGUGUAGGCGGUUUGCACAGUCAGACGUGAAAUUCCUGGGCUCAACCUGGGGGCUGCGUUUGAUACGUGUAGACUUGAGUGCGGAAGAGGGUCGUGGAAUUCCCAGUGUAGAGGUGAAAUUCGUAGAUAUUGGGAAGAACACCGGUGGCGAAGGCGGCGACCUGGUCCGAUACUGACGCUGAGGCGCGAAAGCGUGGGGAGCAAACA